rnacentral:rRNA from 1 species
UGGUAUGAUCUUCCGUAGGKGGAACCUGCGGAAGGAUCAUUACCGAGUUGAUUCGGGCUCCGUCCCGAUCCUCCCACCCUUUGUAUACCUACCUCUGUUGCUUUGGCGGGCCGCGGUCUUCCGCGGCCGCCCCCCGAUUUUGGGGGUUGGCUAGUGCCCGCCAGAGGACUAUCAAACUCCAGUCAGUAAACGUUGCAGUCUGAAAAAAAUAUUAAAUAAACUAAAACUUUCAACAACGGAUCUCUUGGUUCUGGCAUCGAUGAAGAACGCAGCGAAAUGCGAUAAGUAAUGUGAAUUGCAGAAUUCAGUGAAUCAUCGAAUCUUUGAACGCACAUUGCGCCCCUUGGUAUUCCGGGGGGCAUGCCUGUUCGAGCGUCAUUUCAACCCUCAAGCUCUGCUUGGUAUUGGGCACCGUCCUUUGCGGGCGCGCCUCAAAGACCUCGGCGGUGGCGUCUUGCCUCAAGCGUAGUAGAAUACACCUCGCUUCGGAGCGUAAGGCGUCGCCCGCCGGACGAACCUUCUGAACUUUUCUCAAGGUUGACCUCGGAUCAGGUAGGGAUACCCGCUGAACUUAAGCAUAUCAAUAGGCGGAGGAAAUAUUCSA